AGUGAACGCUGGCGGUAGGCCUAACACAUGCAAGUCGAACGGCAGCACAGUAAGAGCUUGCUCUUACGGGUGGCGAGUGGCGGACGGGUGAGGAAUACAUCGGAAUCUACUUUUUCGUGGGGGAUAACGUAGGGAAACUUACGCUAAUACCGCAUACGACCUACGGGUGAAAGCAGGGGAUCUUCGGACCUUGCGCGAUUGAAUGAGCCGAUGUCGGAUUAGCUAGUUGGCGGGGUAAAGGCCCACCAAGGCGACGAUACGUAGCUGGUCUGAGAGGAUGAUCGGCCACACUGGAACUGAGACACGGUCCAGACUCCUACGGGAGGCAGCAGUGGGGAAUAUUGGACAAUGGGCGCAAGCCUGAUCCAGCCAUACCGCGUGGGUGAAGAAGGCCUUCGGGUUGUAAAGCCCUUUUGUUGGGAAAGAAAAGCAGCAUGUUAAUACCCCGCUGUUCUGACGGUACCCAAAGAAUAAGCACCGGCUAACUUCGUG
rnacentral:rRNA from 1 species